UGUUGCAACAACCCCGUGGAUUGGGUGGUGAGGCGGAAGAAGGCUGAAACCACAGUGAACCCACUGCAACA
rnacentral:sRNA from 12 species